CCUACGUGAGGCAGCAGUGAGGAAUAUUGGUCAAUGGACGAAAGUCUGAACCAGCCAUGCCGCGUGCAGGAAGACGGCUCUAUGAGUUGUAAAUUGCUCUUGUACGAGGGUAAAUGCAGAUACGCGCAUCUGUCUGGAAGUAUCGUACGAAUCAGGAUCGGCGAAUUCUGGGCCAGCAGCCGCGGUAAUACGGAGGAUGCGAGCGUUAUCCGGAUUUAUUGGGGUUAAAGGGUGCGUAGGGGGAAGGUUAAGUCAGCGGUAAAAUGUCGGUGCUCAACAGCGGCCUGCCGUUGAAACUGGGCUUCUGGAGUGAGCGAGAGGUAUGCGGAAUGCGUGGUGUAGCGGUGAAAUGCAUAGAUAUCACGCAGAACUCCGAUUGCGAAGGCAGCAUACCGGCGCUCAACUGACGCUGAGGCACGAAAGCGUGGGGAGCGAACGGGAUUAGAUACCCUUGUAGUC
rnacentral:rRNA from 1 species